GUAUGCCUACGGGGGGCAGCAGUGGGGAAUAUUGCGCAAUGGACGAAAGUCUGACGCAGCGACGCCGCGUGAGGGAUGAAGGUUUUCGGAUCGUAAACCUCUGUCAGGAGGGAAGAAAGCGCAUGGCGCCAAUCAGCCAUGCGUUGACGGUACCUCCAAAGGAAGCGCCGGCUAACUCCGUGCCAGCAGCCGCGGUAAUACGGAGGGCGCGAGCGUUAUCCGGAUUUACUGGGUGUAAAGGGCGAGUAGACGGCGUGGCAAGUCAGAUGUGAAAGGCUAGGGCUCAACCUUAG
rnacentral:rRNA from 1 species